GAUGAACGCUGGCGGCGUGCCAUACAUGCACGUCGAGCGAACAGACGAGGAGCUUGCUCCUCUGACGUUAGCGGCGGACGGGUGAGUAACACGUGGAUAACCUACCUAUAAGACUGGGAUAACUUCGGGAAACCGGAGCUAAUACCGGAUAAUAUAUUGAACCGCAUGGUUCAAUAGUGAAAGACGGUUUUGCUGUCACUUAUAGAUGGAUCCGCGCCGCAUUAGCUAGUUGGUAAGGUAACGGCUUACCAAGGCAACGAUGCGUAGCCGACCUGAGAGGGUGAUCGGCCACACUGGAACUGAGACACGGUCCAGACUCCUACGGGAGGCAGCAGUAGGGAAUCUUCCGCAAUGGGCGAAAGCCUGACGGAGCAACGCCGCGUGAGUGAUGAAGGUCUUCGGAUCGUAAAACUCUGUUAUUAGGGAAGAACAAAUGUGUAAGUAACUAUGCACGUCUUGACGGUACCUAAUCAGAAAGCCACGGCUAACUACGUG
rnacentral:rRNA from 1 species